GCCUUUGUAGCUCAGUGGUAGAGCAUAUCCUUGGUAAGGAUAAGGACAUGAGUUCAAUUCUCAUCAGAGGCU
rnacentral:tRNA from 1 species